rnacentral:rRNA from 1 species
UACGAAGGGGGCUAGCGUUGCUCGGAAUUACUGGGCGUAAAGCGCACGUAGGCGGCUUUCUAAGUCGGGGGUGAAAUCCUGGAGCUCAACUCCAGAACUGCCUUCGAUACUGGAAAGCUCGAGUCCGGGAGAGGUGAGUGGAACUGCGAGUGUAGAGGUGAAAUUCGUAGAUAUUCGCAAGAACACCAGUGGCGAAGGCGGCUCACUGGCCCGGUACUGACGCUGAGGUGGCGAAAGCGUGGGGAGCAAACAGG